AUUGAACGCUGGCGGCAUGCCUUACACAUGCAAGUCGAACGGCAGCACGGGGCAACCUGGUGGCGAGUGGCGAACGGGUGAGUAAUGCAUCGGAACGUGCCAUUGAGUGGGGGAUAACGUAGCGAAAGUUGCGCUAAUACCGCAUAUUCUGUGAGCAGGAAAGCAGGGGACCGCAAGGCCUUGCGCUCUUUGAGCGGCCGAUGUCAGAUUAGCUAGUUGGUGAGGUAACGGCUUACCAAGGCGACGAUCUGUAGCGGGUCUGAGAGGAUGAUCCGCCACACUGGAACUGAGACACGGUCCAGACUCCUACGGGAGGCAGCAGUGGGGAAUUUUGGACAAUGGGCGCAAGCCUGAUCCAGCCAUGCCGCGUGAGUGAAGAAGGCCUUCGGGUUGUAAAGCCCUUUCGGCCGGGAAGGAAUCGCAUGGGCCAAUACCCUGUGUGGAUGACGGUACCGGAAUAAGAAGCACCGGCUAACUACGUGCCAGCAGCCGCGGUAAUACGUAGGGUGCGAGCGUUAAUCGGAAUUACUGGGCGUAAAGCGUGCGCAGGCGGUUUUGUAAGACAGGCGUGAAAUCCCCGGGCUUAACCUGGGAACUGCGCUUGUGACUGCAAGGCUGGAGUACGGCAGAGGGGGGUGGAAUUCCACGUGUAGCAGUGAAAUGCGUAGAGAUGUGGAGGAACACCAAUGGCGAAGGCAGCCCCCUGGGUCGAUACUGACGCUCAUGCACGAAAGCGUGGGUAGCAAACAGGAUUAGAUACCCUGGUAGUCCACGCCCUAAACUAUGUCAACUAGG
rnacentral:rRNA from 1 species